CGCUGGGGUAUUUGGACAUGGGGGAAGCCUGAUCCACGCCAUGCCGCGUGUGUGAUGAAGGUCUUCGGAUUGUAAAGCCCUUUUAGUUGGGAGGAAGGGCUGUAGAUUAAUACUUUGCUGUUUUGACGUUACCGACAGAAUAAGCACCGGCUAACUCUGUGCCAGCAGCCGCGGUAAUCA
rnacentral:rRNA from 1 species